AUUGAACGCUAGCGGGAUGCUUUACACAUGCAAGUCGAACGAGUGGAGGACGGGUGAGUAAUAUAUCGGAACGUGCCCAGUAGCUGGGGAUAACUAAUCGAAAGAGUGGCUAAUACCGCAUAUCAUUGGAGCGGCCGAUAUGGGAUUAGCUAGUUGGUGGGUGAAAGGCUAACCAAGGAAACGAGCAGUAGCUGGUUUGAGAGGACGACCAGCCACACUGGGACGGAGACACGGCCCAGACUCCUACGGGAGGCAGCAGUGGGGAAUUUUGGACAAUGGGGGAAACCCUGAUCCAGCCAUCCCGCGUGUAUGAGAAGGCCUUCGGGUUGUAAAGUACUUUUGGCAGAGAAGCGGUAUCUGCAGAAUAAGCACCGGCUAACUACGUGCCAGCAGCCGCGGUAAUAC
rnacentral:rRNA from 1 species